rnacentral:sRNA from 1 species
GCUGGGCAUGGUGGCGCAUGCCUAUAAUCUCACCAGCUCGGAGGCUGAGGCAGGAGUUUGUGAGCUCAAUGCUAGCCUCAG